CCCCCUGUGAAACCCUGAUGAAACCCUAAUAAUUGAAGUUUGUUCUUCCCCUUUCUGCUACCACCAUCAUCAUCAUCAACAUCAUAAACCCCCAAUCCUUUCCCUCUUUUCUUUCAAAUCCCUAGAGAUCUAUUUCUGUCUGCAAAAUCCAUAAACUCAAAACCUGGGGAAGAUUUGGUUCGAUUUGAGUUUGAUAUCUAUAACAAGUUGGAUGAAUCAAAUGGGUUUUGGGUAAAAAUUGAAAUCCAAGAACUAGGGUUCUGUUCUGGUUCGAUUUUGAAGAAGAGAGAAAAGGAUAUGUUAUGAUGGAAUCGUAGAUGGGUUUGUUGUGAUGCCAAGAAAUCAAGAUGGAGGAGAAGUUAUGGUGCAAACAGAGAAGAAUUACAACCUUGCUGGUGUUGAUUUGUAGAUCAGUGGAGGUGAUUGAAGUAUGAAUGGAAGUUCUAAUAGGUUAAGGAGAUUGGGUUUUACCUGAUUUCAGUACACAGUUAGGUUUACAGUGAUGUGAAGAUAAUGGAGUUGAUCUAGAGUUAUAGGAGCAGGAAUUGGUGGUAUCUAAUGUGAAGCAUGAAGAUUUCGCUUUACUUUUGUUUUUAAUUUUCCCACUUAAUUAUGUAUAGGAUCUUAAGUGAUUCUUAAUGGUUUUCUUUCUAAUUUUAUGCAGGAAAGACAGUUACAAUGCAAUCUCGGAACUUAUGGAUCCAGAAGAGGUACUUUGAUUUCGAACAUCAAAUACAGUUCUGUUCUUACAAUGCUAUUUGAUUUCUAAUGUUUUUGUUUUGUUUCCUUGAACAACAAUAUGGAGAAUGAACAUGGUAUGGCUGAGUUAUGUUUCUGAUGAGUUUGUAUGGUUGUGACAUGGAUACUAGUGCUGCUUCAAGGAAAUGACAUGGAUAGUUGUUUGUUUAAUGGCUGAGAAGAUGCAGGUUGUGUUGGUAUACCAAUGAGUGAGAAUAAGAGGCUGAUAUUAGAGAGUUGGUGGUGGUGGAUUGAGCUGAGACAGAUGGUUGAGAAGAAUGUAUGAAUGUCAAGCUGCAGAAUGGAGUAAUAUUGGACAAUGAUUGACCUUUUUACUCAGCUAUGGUGUUGUUGUUUUUCUGUGUAUCUAUGGUUUUGAAUUGGCAUUAACGAUUGUAAGCUGAUUUUUGGUAGGGACUGAAGUUGACUUUAAUGAAAUAAGCUAUCUUAUUAGAGGAGACUGAGGAUGUUAAAGAUCUUAAGUCCAUGAGCGAUUGUGUGUUAAUUAAGGUUGAGGAGGCCGAGAAGGGACUGCUGGUGGAUUACUUUUAACAGAUGCUAGCAAGAAAUCCCUUCAUUUUUUUUUUUGGAAUUGAGAAGUGUUGUCUUAUGCAUCUUCGUUGAGAAUGUGCUCUCCAGGAAGGUCAUGGAUGGUACUUUUCAGAUUAUUCUCCAACCACCUUUCCUAGAAGUUGGUUGUCCUGUAAUUACGUAAAUUUUUGGAUGGUAGAAACUGAAUUUGAAGAUCUUUAGGAGGAUGGCAAGAUACAAGGAUGGGAGAGUAAAGGUGGCAACAUUUUAUCUUAGGAUUCUAUAAUCUAUCUCGAUUACUACAUUAUAGUGCAUGAAUUAAUGGACGUGGAUAAUGACAUUAAAAGAGAUGCAUCGAAGAACUUUAUGGCUCGCAUGGGUCGACAUGAAAUUCUUUAGACACUGAAAAUUUUGACAAUCCUGGAGCUUAGAGUUUUGGCUUCUUACUGUGGACAUAGCCAGGACUGCUCAAUGUUUUGCAGGGUGCAAGAGAAAUUGGUGCACCUAAAGAAAGCUAAGGAUAAAUUUGACAAAUGAGUGGUCUCGCAUGCUUGAUGUCAGAGACUAGGCAGGAAGUUUAAUCAAUCUCUUUGGAAAAGUUCAACGUUCUUCUCUAUGUUCAUCAUCUUAUUGUAUGUCAUUGUUUUGAUACUGCACACAGAAUUUAUAUGUCAUUGGGACAAAAAAUGUUUCUAGUUGUACUUAAAUGUGUUUCUUACUUUUUGUGUGUAUGGGUUCAUCAUGGUAUAUUAUGAUGAAUUAACAUUAAGAAAUAAUACUUUUUUUGGAUUAAUUUGAUAUCUAAAUAAACAGGGGUGACUUGAUUUUGUUACUAGG